GAAAUGCGAUAAGUAAUGUGAAUUGCAGAAUUCAGUGAAUCAUCGAAUCUUUGAACGCACAUUGCGCCCGCCAGUAUUCUGGCGGGCAUGCCUGUUCGAGCGUCAUUUCAACCAUCAAGCCCCCGGCUUGUGUUGGGGACCCGCGGCUGCCCGCAGGCCCUGAAAAACAGUGGCGGGUUCGCUGUCACACCGAGCGUAGUAGCAUACAUUCUCGCUCAGGGCGUGCUGCGGGUUCCGGCCGUUAAACGACCUUCAUAACCCAAGGUUGACCUCGGAUCAGGUAGGAAGACCCGCUGAACUUAAGC
rnacentral:misc_RNA from 1 species